AUUGAACUUUUUUGGCCUUUCUUGGAUUUGCUGAUCCUUCGAUGAUUCUAAUGAGGACCUAACUGGGGAAUGGAAAUCUCUGGAAUGGACUUCAGAAAUUUUGUGUUUUCUCUUGGCAUCUUUCCAAAGACCCUAAAGCACUUUCCUAAUAAAUUUUCGAUAGAAGAUCAAGUGUUGCAACUGGGGUCCAGGUUUGCUAGUGGAGAAGUCGCCAGCUGAGUCCACGUGGCAUCCACUGGUCAUUUUUUUGUUCAAAGGUGGGAGGAGGGGUGUCCAUUCCCUUCCAGGCUGCCCUCCUGGCCAGGACUCUGUCCACAUGGUUAAUGGAUAAAAGUGGAAAGCGUGGGGCUGAUAAGACUUGUAUGUCUCUGUACGUCUGUGGCGGCUCUGCUGCCGUGUCAUAACCAGCAGGUGAAACGGCGCACUGUUUAGAGAGGGUUGGAAGCCAGAGCGGCUGCCCUGCCUGUGGCUGAUGACAGGGUGCAUGGUCACCAUAUCCACCUGCAGAGUUUUUGGCCCCAGAAUGGACACCCACAGACCGGACGUCACCAGGCUGGUCGCACAUGAUUAAGCUCCUGUCCUCCAAAAUCUUACAGUCAAAUCAGUCAGACACCAUGACGCAGCUCUCCAUGUGGGAUUAGGGUGAUUCUUAUAAAAUUGUGGCAGUCAGAGGAAGGAGAACUAGAGGGACCGUGGCUUGAUCAGUCACAUGAAAGACGGCUGACUACAGAUCGCCACGACAAAUAUAAUGACGAUAAGAAAGUUUGCAAUAUGGCGGGACUUACUGGAAAUGUGACACAGAGACAUGAAGUGAGCAAAUGCUGUUGAAAAAAUGGCGCCGAUAGACUUGCUCAACGCAGGGUUGCCACACACCUUCAAUCUGUAAAAAAUGCAGUAUCUGAGAAGCACAGGAAAACGAGGUCUGCCUUCACUCCAAAUAAUUAAAAAAGGGAACUCAAACACUGACACGUGAGAGUGCACAGCGGCAGUAAUUCACAACAGCGAAAAGGUGGAAACAACCCAAAUGCCCAUCAAUGGUCAGACUGAAAAUUCCAUAAUUCCUGUGGGAAUUGGUGACGUGUCCUUUGUCUGCAUCAGCCUAUGCUGAGAAGGUCUGAAUUGACCUAAAACAGUGCUCUGUCCUCACUUGGCAGGUGAAAAUGGCAAGGGUGGCUGCUUGGUUGUCUUCUGAGGAAUUUUGGCCACAGAAGCUUCAAGGCGUCCUGGAGCUUCCAUUCCAAUGGGAAAUCUGAAGACAGGAGGGCGUGACCAAAUGUUCACUAGCUGGACAGGUGUGAUUUUUUUCUUCAAAGUGCAGUCCAAGAACCAGCAGCAUGGGCAUGGCCUUCAGGCUUGUUAGAAAUGCAGAAUCUCAGCCCAGCCCCCGACCCCCCAUCUGGAUCAGAACCUGCAUUGUCACAUGACUGGCAGGUGACUGCUGUCGGCAAGGACAGUUCAAAGGCCUGGGGCUCAGCCACCUGACUCCAUUCCCAGGCAAGGCUCCCGGACCCGCCGUGCCCUCACGGUAGAAAGGAGACAAAAAUAACCAGCCUCAUAGAAUUUAGCUGAUCUUAGCAAUGCACCUACCACAGUCCCAUGCAGGCAGCGAUCACUCCAUGGAAAUCUAUUCAAUCUCAGUCUAACAUCUGUGAUUCUUAGGGACUUUUUUGGAGUUGCACUGGGUCGAAGUCUCAAUCCUGAUGAAAGUUUCCCAUUUCACCCCAUAUUCAGAGUUGAAAUUUCAACUUUGGGACCUAAAGAUGCUCAGUUGGGUUUUUCUUAAACAAACAUGACCCAGGAAAUCGAAAAAUAUAGGCACUCAGACUCACAUCUAGAGAUAGUUAACGAGUUGAUGUUUCUGGACAGUCUUUAAGGGCUGCUUUAUAGCCACGUGCAGACAAUGCUCGCCAGCAGUGUGCUCUAAGCACCCCAUCAACCGAGAGGGCAGGGAACACUGUGUAACACGUCAGCCCCGCAAUAAAACAACCGCUUCCAUGGUGGAUGGACCCCAGUCCUUUCAUGUGUUAUGUGAGUCAAUGAUACAAGCAGCAAUUAAGUUUUAAUAGGAUAUGUUUAAAAAGCUUUUUCUAUAAAGCCACUGUCAACGUAUGCAGUGAACAGUCUGUCUAUGUACACGCUCCAAGGUGGAGUCUAGAUUACGAUUUGUUUUCCUCCUAAUGAAGUUUUUCAUUAACCAAGGCUUUGACUUUGGCUGAUCCACUCCUGUGUUUACCCGGAUCAGAAAUGAGAGUGGUGUCUGGACCAAACAUCCCCACUCUUUAAUAAAAACAGAAAAGCUAAAACACUGGGUGAUAGCUUUGAGAUGGUACUGGAGUGUUUUUAAGAAAACCAAAGGUGAAAAGAAAUGUUUCUGAGAUGCUAAGCAUGAUAAUCUUCUGAGUCAUUCUGCAUUUCUGGGACACAAUUGGGCUGAUUAAAAUCUGCUGGUAUUAUUUAAAUUACAAGUGUAAAUGUUGUUCUUUGAUUGUCUCUAAGCUUUUGAUCAUUUGCGCUGAGUUUUCUUUGCUCUAACUUGAACCGUUCCAUAUUCAGCAAAUUUUCAUAAUAAAUAUAAUACUAUUAUUCCGUAGCUUAAAAAUGAUUCCAUGGUGUAUGAAACUUAUAAGGACAGUGUCUUCUACUUGGGAGGUUUCAAAUGGAUAAUCCUGUUUAAUGAUAUGUUGUUAAAAUCAAAGAACAAUCUCACAUAUCUGUUG